UACAUGGGGUGCAAACGUUGCUCGGAAUUACUGGGCGUAAAGUGUGCGCAGGCGGCCGCGCAAGUCGAGUGUGAAAGCCCCGAGCUUAACUUGGGAAUUGCGCUCGAAACUACGUGGCUGGAGUGUGGCAGAGGAAGGUGGAAUUCCACGUGUAGCGGUGAAAUGCGUAGAUAUCAGGAGGAACACCGGUGGCGAAGGCGGGUCUCUGGGCAACAACUGACGCUGAGGAGCGAAAGCGUGGGGAGCGAACAGG
rnacentral:rRNA from 1 species